rnacentral:rRNA from 1 species
GGGCCCGCACAAGCGGUGGAGUAUGUGGUUUAAUUCGAUGCAACGCGAAGAACCUUACCAGGGUUUGACAUCCUGCGAAUUUCUGGGAAACCGGAAAGUGCCUUCGGGAGCGCAGUGACAGGUGGUGCAUGGCUGUCGUCAGCUCGUGUCGUGAGAUGUUGGGUUAAGUCCCGCAACGAGCGCAACCCACGUCUUUAGUUGCCAGCAUUUAGUUGGGCACUCUAGAGAGACCGCCGGUGAUAAACCGGAGGAAGGUGUGGAUGACGUCAAGUCAUCAUGCCCCUUACAUCCUGGGCUACACACGUACUACAAUGGUGGUGACAAUGGGUUAAUCCCAAAAAGCCAUCUCAGUUCGGAUUGGGGUCUGCAACUCGACCCCAUGAAGUCGGAAUC